GCCGGUGUGUUGGAAUUGGUAGACGAGGAGGACUCAAAAUCCUCAGCCAGCAAUGACGUGCGGGUUCGAGCCCCGCCACCGGCACCA
rnacentral:tRNA from 1 species